rnacentral:rRNA from 1 species
AUUGAACGCUGUCGGCAGGCCUAACACAUGCAAGUCGAGCGAGCGGCGGACGGGUGAGUAAUGUAUGGGGAUCUGCCCGAUGGAGGGGGAUAACUACUGGAAACGUUGGCUAAUACCGCAUACUAUCUGAUUUACCCAUAGGGGAUUAGCUAGUAGGUUGGGUAAAGGCUCACCUAGGCGACGAGAUCUAGCUGGUCUGAGAGGAUGACAAGCCACAGUGGAACUGAGACACGGGCCAGAAUCCUACGGGGGGCAGCAGUGGGGAAAAUUGCAAAAUGGGCGCAAGCAUGAUGCAGAAAAGCCGCGUGUAUGAAGAAGAAAUUAGGGUUGUAAAGUACUUUCAGCGGGGAGGCGUUACGCGAAGAAGAAGAACAGGCUAAAUCCGUGACAGCAGCAGCGGUAAUAC